rnacentral:lncRNA from 1 species
UAUACCCCACUUAAUUCUUAAUUUACCCUUAUUAUAAUUUUUAUCAUAUUUCAUGCCCCCACCUAUAAGACUUAUAAAAAUUAUUUUUUAAAAAAAUUCUCAUAAUCGCCAUCGUAACGAUGGAAAAGAAUUUAAUAGUUCUAGUAAGGAUUCGACCACGAACCAUGCCAAGCCAAUCCUAAAAAAUCAAAGUAUUAUGCUAAGUCUAUCAAGCGAAGGGUGAGUAUAGAAAUACAAGAAUUUAGCCAAGGGGGUAGACAUGAUAAUUCUGGUUAGAAUUUCCUACAAGUGCAGCUGUGGAAUUCAUUCUUUACAAUUGCAAUUCAUGGAUUCCAUUGUGGUGUGUCAAUAUUAAUAAGUACUUUCCAUAACCUUCUUCAGCAUGGGGAUGUGUGGUGUUUACAAAUUCGAGAAAGUAUAUAUUUAAAAAUUGUACUUUGUUUCAAUUUGCAUUGGCUUUUCCAGUUCUUUGAGUAUCUUGACUGAUUGUUUUUUGUUUACAAAUUGGAGAACUUAUGUAUUUCAUCAUAGUUGUAAAUAGUCUUCCAAGUGUUUGUCAUUUUUACUGAAUGAAUAAAAUUAUUAGUUUCAUUCUCUAUAAAAAUGAUCAUUACUGUUUUUUUGUUCUAUGUAUAACAUAUGAAGUUUUGCAACUGCCGAGCAGAUUUUGACCACCAAAGUGACCAAACUUCUUAAAUAAGCAUGCAUUAUGAAUCUAUCAAAGUAGAAGUAGGUUCAAAAGCAGCUCUUGUAACUCACAAUAAAUACCGCUAAACCAAUAAUCAUGUAAUAGAAGGACUAUCCUGAUGGCUUUUUGUUUCAUCUAUGAUGGUUGUGGGGAAUUUCCAUUUCUCAAGGAUUGUUCGAAGAUGUUUUGUUUGAACGUUUAACAAAGCAAUUGUUGGCAAUAAUUAGAGAUUUGGAAAAAAAUAGCCGACCGUCCAAACAUGUAGUCAGUUAAACGUGUCAUGGACUUGACUUGAAUGUUUCUUGGCUUUUUCUUAGAGAUGUGAUAUUUAACCCCCUUAUUAUAUCUCACCAACCCUAUUUAUCAAUUAAUCCUAUUAAAAAAUUUAAAUUAAUUUUUAUCUCUUAAUAUACCCCACUUAAUUCUUAAUUUACCCUUAUUAUAAUUUUUAUCAUAUUUCAUGCCCCCACCUAUAAGACUUAUAAAAAUUAUUUUUUAAAAAAAUUCUCAUAAUCGCCAUCGUAACGAUGGAAAAGAAUUUAAUAGUUCUAGUAAGGAUUGGACCACGAACCAUGCCAAGCCAAUCCUGAAAAAUCAAAGUAUUAUGCUAAGUCUAUCAAGCGAAGGGUGAGUAUAGAAAUACAAGAAUUUAGCCAAGGGGGUAGACAUGAUAAUUCUGGUUAGAAUUUCCUACAAGUGCAGCUGUGGAAUUCAUUCUUUACAAUUGCAAUUCAUGGAUUCCAUUGUGGUGUGUCAAUAUUAAUAAGUACUUUCCAUAACCUUCUUCAGCAUGGGGAUGUGUGGUGUUUACAAAUUCGAGAAAGUAUAUAUUUAAAAAUUGUACUUUGUUUCAAUUUGCAUUGGCUUUUCCAGUUCUUUGAGUAUCUUGACUGAUUGUUUUUUGUUUACAAAUUGGAGAACUUAUGUAUUUCAUCAUAGUUGUAAAUAGUCUUCCAAGUGUUUGUCAUUUUUACUGAAUGAAUAAAAUUAUUAGUUUCAUUCUCU